rnacentral:rRNA from 1 species
AUGGCGUGGUGGCGGGAGAGGGUCGUCGCGCCGGUGCGGCGGGCCUGGCUCGCCGUUGCGCGGCGGGCGCGGAACCGCAGGAGCACAGGGGUGGUGGACCUGCACAGGGACGUGCAAACCUGCGGAUACGACGAUGUUCAGGUGAUGUGGAACAUGCUGAGCUCGGAGAAACAUGCCCUGGGCCACAGGCCGGCGGCGCCUGAGAAGCCGCCGCGGCGGCGGGCCACGUUCUGGAGGGCGUCGUUCUGGAACGUCGGAAAAUGCGUGGCGCGGUGA